CCCUUAGAUGUCCUGGGCUGCACGCGCGCUACACUGAUGCAUUCAACGAGUAUUUCCUUGGCCGAGAGGCCUGGGCAAUCUUUUAAACCUGCAUCGUGAUAGGGAUAGAUUAUUGCAAUUAUUAAUCUUGAACGAGGAAUUCCUAGUAAACGCAAAUCAUCAAUUUGCAUUGAUUACGUCCCUGCCCUUUGUACACACCGCCCGUCGCACCUACCGAUUGAAUGGUCCGGUGAAAUCUCGGGAUUGUGGCCAGUUCACUUUAUUGGGAGUUGGCUGCGAGAACUUGCUUAAACCUUAUCAUUUAGAGGAAGGUGAAGUCGUAACA
rnacentral:rRNA from 1 species